CCAUCCCUGCCUUUGUGGAGCCUGCCAUCUAGCAAGGAGGAGAGGCUUUCUUCAAAUGACCCCACGAAUAACUAUACAACUACAGCUAUGGCAGUGGAAACCCAAAGGGGAAUAGACACAGGACUGUCUCUUCAGGAGCCUGCCUUUACCCUUGGAGGGAGCAGAUGGGAGACACAUCGGUGCUAUAAGUGCUGGAAGGGCCUCUAAGCAUGUCUGUGCUGGAUGCGCAAAGAGUUCUCCUUGUGGCCACUUGAGGAUGGAUCAGAAGGGGCAUAACAGAAGGCUAGCGAUCAGUUAGAAGAUGAUUGAAACUGCCAAGCAAAGAGUCUGUGGUCACAACAGAGGAAUUGUCCCCCUUUGUUUUGUGGAAAGCUGAGUGGAGAAUAUUCCGGGUGACCAAUGUUUCACCUCAGUCCCGAUGUCCU